rnacentral:lncRNA from 10 species
CACCGGCUGCUCAUAUGGGAUGGGUGGGGGUGGUGCAGGUGCCCUGCAUGGGUUCCACUGCCCUAAAGAGGGUACAAAGGCCACACCUCCGUGUGUCUGCCAGGGCUGGGUUCAGAGCCUCCCUGGCUUCCUGGGCACUCUGCCUAUCACACAGCGAUUCCAAUAUGAUCACAUGUUCAGAACAGCCACACUUGUCAAAGCAAGGAGAGAACACUUCAGCAACGUUCAAAAACAUGUCUCCAGGGAUUAAAAAAAAAACACGGAAAGCUUCAUUUUCCUCCCUAGUGGGGAAGUCUUCCUUACUCACAGCCUCUUCCUGAGUUGGUGUCUGUCGUGAAGCAUUCUUUGGAAGCAUAGUAAGCGGAGGGUUUAAUUUACCAUAGUCGUACACAUUUGCACAGAAUCUAAAGUUUGCAGUGCGUUUCAUCAUCUUUAUGUGAAUCUCAUGCAGCUCUUACAGGGAAAACAGGAAGAACUGGCCCCAUUUUCUAAAUGUGGAGACAGGAGGAGGUGAGAUGGCUCGCCUCUGCCCAGCCGACUGGGAAAUGCAGAGCUCAGAGAGACAGCAAGUCAGGAGAUGUUGAUCCAGGGAGCUUUUCACUCUGCCACCCACCCCAUCGAUGGAAGCACCGACAUUAUCAAGGCUGCAUUUAGAUUUCAAAACAAAAGCAAGCAAACAUGCCGGGCUCGUGGUAUGCUGUUGUUUUAACCGAAAUGAUACAGCUGAAAGGGUGAGCAGCCAUCAGUGCUGUGAGCGAAGCGUGAUCACACAUCUUGUAUGUUUAGCAACUCAGGAGGUAGCUGAGCCUGGAAGUGACUUUCCUGCCAAAAACCAGGAACAACCCGGAUGUCCUUCAACAAGGGAAGGGUGACCCAGCCCGUGAUGCAUCCGUCACACUGUGGAUUGCUGCUCAGCAACGAGGAGGCACAGACUCGAUACGGGAGCCAGCCUGGGUGACGCUCCAGAGAACUACCCUGAGUGGAGAAGGGCAGUCCCACCGUGUGAUUCCAUUAUUAUCACAUUCUUGAAAUGACAGAAUUAUAGAAAGGAGAACAGAGGAGUGGCUGCCAGAGUUUAAGGAGGGAAUGGGGAAAGGGGGAAGAGCAGCAUGCGGGAUCCUUGUGACGGAAGCGUUUUGUGUCGUGUGGGUGUCUGUCAGUUUCCUAGCUGUGAUACUGUACCAUUGUCUUGUAAGAUGCUGCCAUCGGUGGAAACUGGGUAAAGCAUAUAGGGGACCUCUCUGUAUGAUUUCUUACAACUGCAUGUGAAUUUACAGUGGUCUCAAAAUAAAGCAUUUAAUUAAACAAAAAACCCACAUGCAUUUAAAGUAGUCCCAACAGAAGCAGAAAGAAUAGACCAGGCUUCCCACUGUUGGGAGAAACGAGAAACAUGGCAGACCUCUUCCAGAAGAAUUUUGUAUAUUUUCUUUGUUUUCUGUUUUUGUUUUUUCUUUUCUUUUCUUUUUUUUUUUUGAGAUGGAGUCUCACUUUGUCACCCAGGCUGGAGUGCCGUGGCCUGAUCUCAG